rnacentral:rRNA from 1 species
AACGAACGCUGGCGGCAUGCCUAACACAUGCAAGUCGAACGAUCCCUUCGGGGAUAGUGGCGCACGGGUGCGUAACGCGUGGGAACCUGCCCUUAGGUUCGGAAUAACUCAGAGAAAUUUGAGCUAGUACCGGAUAAUGUCUUCGGACCAAAGAUUUAUCGCCUUUGGAUGGGCCCGCGUUGGAUUAGCUAGUUGGUGGGGUAAAGGCCUACCAAGGCGACGAUCCAUAGCUGGUCUGAGAGGAUGAUCAGCCACACUGGGACUGAGACACGGCCCAGACUCCUACGGGAGGCAGCAGUGGGGAAUAUUGGACAAUGGGCGAAAGCCUGAUCCAGCAAUGCCGCGUGAGUGAUGAAGGCCUUAGGGUUGUAAAGCUCUUUUACCCGGGAUGAUAAUGACAGUACCGGGAGAAUAAGCCCCGGCUAACUCCGUG